UAUUUUACGACGCAAAUAAUGGCCAAUAUACUACAAUCUGACGUGUGCGGUGAAAUCUUGACCAAGAUUCAUGACAAAUAUACUACGAUUCCGAUCAAAUAUACUACGAUUCCACUCAAAUAUAAUUACGAAAGUGUAAAAGGCCCAAAAUAUAUUGAACGAUAUCGGGCAAAUAUACCAUUUGAAGCCGAUGAAACU
rfam:Spodoptera frugiperda MNPV isolate 3AP2, complete genome.